rnacentral:misc_RNA from 1 species
GUGAAUCAUCAAAUCUUUGAACGCAAAUUGCGCCUUUUUCGGAGGGCAUGUCUGUUUGAGGGCACCAUUUAACAAAUAAUGUGCAGCGUUUGUUUUUGGACACGUUUAUGAGCUUUCCAAGAAUUUUAAAUUUUUUGUGUCUCAUAAUGAACAGCGUGAAAUUUUUGUUCAGUUGAAGUUUAGUAAGAUCUUUUCUUUGUUUGUUAAAAAACUUAAUCUUUCAUUGAGUGUGGCAAUUUCUUUUUAUCCGUGC